rnacentral:pre_miRNA from 8 species
GGGUCCUGUACUGAGCUGCCCCGAGGCCCUUCGCUGUGCCCAGCUCGGGUCAGCUCAGUACCGGGCGC